rnacentral:rRNA from 1 species
ACGAACGCUGGCGGCGUGCUUAACACAUGCAAGUCGAGCGGAAAGGCCCUUCGGGGUACUCGAGCGGCGAACGGGUGAGUAACACGUGAGCAACCUGCCCCUGACUCCUGG